AGUCCCCGCCCUCUCUCUGCUUUCUCAUAAAAUCUCUGCUGGACCAGCCACUCCUAGUGGGGAGCCCAGGGUGGUCUGGGAGUGCUAGAUGCACCCAGCUGCUGUAUCACCAGGACAUCAGGAGGUGGAGGUGGCAUCCCUGAGUCCUGAUGCCUGACUGGAUGGAGGCCCACCAGCUUCUGUUCCCAUGAGGUAGAAAGGCCAAGCUUGGUCUUCAGCUGGGGAAGAGGCCAGAAACAAGGCCCCCAGUGAAAUAACCCAGAUCCAUUGGCCUGAGGAGCAGAGAAAGGGCAAGAAGUGAACUGCAGCUGCUGGUAACCCUCAGAAACCUUCUCCAAUUGCUAUUCUCACAGUUCUUUGGGAACACUCUGAAGUGAAGAACAAUAUGUAGGAAAAUGGGACCAACUUAUGUGUGUUCUGAGCCUCAAAACCCCUUUGUUGGCCCAAAGAAGCUCACCUUCAGUUUGGGAGGGCUGGUAAGCUCCAUCCUUUCUCAUGGCCUCAGCCAAGCAUUGAACUUGCCCUCCCCUUCUGG
rnacentral:sRNA from 1 species